AUUGAACGCUGGCGGCAUGCUUUACACAUGCAAGUCGAACGGCAGCGCGGGCUUCGGCCUGGCUGCGAGUGGCGAACGGGUGAGUAAUACAUCGGAACGUGCCCAGUAGUGGGGGAUAGCUCGGCGAAAGCCGGAUUAAUACCGCAUACGACCUGAGGGUGAAAGCGGGGGAUCUUCGGACCUCGCGCUAUUGGAGCGGCCGAUGGCAGACUAGCUAGUUGGUGGGGUAAAGGCCUACCAAGGCGACGAUCUGCAGCUGGUCUGAGAGGACGACCAGCCACACUGGGAGUGAGACACGGCCCAGGCUCCUACGGGAGGCAGCAGUGGGGAAUGUUGGACAAUGGGCGAAAGCCUGAUCCAACAAUGCCGCGUGUGUUAUGAAGGCCUUCGGGGUGGAAAGCACUUUUGGCGGGAACGAAAAGGACUGUGCCAAUACCACGGUUCGAUGACGGUACCCGCAGAAUAAGCACCGGCUAACUACGUG
rnacentral:rRNA from 1 species